GCUUAGAAUUAUAAGGUUCUAUCUCCACUUUUGGUCGAAAUUGAGUUUUUGACAUAAUCUGAUCCAUUAGGUGUUUAUUAAUGCCUGUGUGAUGUUAUUUUUGUAUAAAAAAUAUUUUUUAGUUAGUUAUUAAUAAAAUAAAAAGGUUCCAUCUCACAAAACAUAAACCGAGUUGGUAUUAUAAGGUUCUAUCUCCAGUAGAUUCAAUAUCCAAUCAAAACCCUGAAUGAACACAGACGGACCAAUCAAAUCCCACCUCUUAGCUCUGUAGCCUGGACACAGAGCUAAGGGCUGGACAUUAGCCUGCCCUGGACAUCUGAAGCCGGUGAUGGCGACCAAAAUACACCACUAGAAGAGAUCGGGCUGCUUCCUGUCAGCAUGGUAAGGCCGGCCGGGUCCAUAGGAGGAUGACGUCUCAGUGGAGUUCGGUCAGGCCCAUGUGUAGCGGCCCUGACCGACCUCUAUGAAUCAGCACUGGACUGCCCUACGGAGGCCCACGAGGGCCACAGGUGUAGAUGAGUGACACGCGUAAGUGAGCUCACCACAGAACCCAUCCGGCAGCAGAUCCUUUUCUCAAGGGGCCCCGAAACAGCAUGCCGCAGUGACGACGUCGAGCGCGGCAUCAGCGGUGCUCGAGAGGCUCGGAGGUAUCCUCUCUCCGACAGCCCGAGUGAGGCGCCCGCUUCCCUGCCCACAUGUUAUUUUCAGACCCAAACAGCGCUCCGCCGCUGCCAUCUGCUCUGCCAGGCACCCCAGGGGUCCCGCUGGCGCUGGGAAGCCCGUGAUGUGUUGCCCCUCCGCAGCCAGCAGCCCUGGCGGCCCUCCAUUGUGUCUCCAGGACAAUCAGCUUUGUCUCCACUUGCACUGGUUGCACGCAGACAGAUAGCACUCAAGGUGACGCCUAUAGAUCGCCUCAAAAGGAGUCCCCGGUUAAACACUCACAGAGAUUAAUUGGUAAAACCCUCUCUGUACUUUGCAUGCAAUGUAAUCUAUAGUCUAUCAUCUAUAGUAUAAUCUAUGAGUUAUAAUAGUUGAGAAGUUUAGCAGGAAUAAUUUUAAUGAAAUUCACUGAUGCAGUUAUACACAUAAUGAUCCGAUGACAAAGAAUAUUUAUACAUUGUG